CCUACGGGUGGCUGCAGUAGGGAAUCUUCCACAAUGGGCGAAAGACUGAUGGAGCAACGCCGCGUGGGUGAAGAAGGUCUUCGGAUCGUAAAAACAGUUUGGUAGAGAAGAAAGGGCGGGAGAGUAACUGUUAACGGGUCGACGGGAACGAACCAGAAAGCCACGGCUAACUACGGGCCAGCAGCCGCGGUAAUACGUAGGUGGCAAGCGUUAUCCGGAUUUAGUGGGCGUAAAGGGAACGCAGGAGGUCUUUUAAGUCUGAUGUGAAAGCCUUCGGCUUAACCGGAGUAGUGCAUUGGAAACUGGGAGACUUGAGUGCAGAAGAGGAGAGUGGAACUCCAUGUGUAGCGGUGAAAU
rnacentral:rRNA from 1 species